GAGUGGCGAACUGGUGAGUAACACGUGCUUAACCUGCCCUUGAAGUAGGGGAUAACACUUGGAAACAGGUGCUAAUACCGUAUAACAACCAAAGCCACCUGGUUUUGGUUUAAAAGAUGGCUUCGGCUAUCACUUUAGGAUGGACCCGCGGCGUAUUAGCUUGUUGGUAAGGUAACGGCCUACCAAGGCAAUGAUACGUAGCCGACCUGAGAGGGUAAUCGGCCACAUUGGGACUGAGACACGGCCCAAACUCCUACGGGAGGCAGCAGUAGGGAAUCUUCCACAAUGGACGAAAGUCUGAUGGAGCAACGCCGCGUGAGUGAUGAAGGGUUUCGGCUCGUAAAACUCUGUUGUUGGAGAAGAACAGGUGUGAGAGUAACUGUUCACAUCUUGACGGUAUCCAACCAGAAAGCCACGGCUAACUACGUGCCAGCAGCCGCGGUAAUACGUAGGUGGCAAGCGUUGUCCGGAUUUAUUGGGCGUAAAGCGAGCGCAGGCGGUUUCUUAGGUCUGAUGUGAAAGCCUUCGGCUUAACCGGAGAAGUGCAUCAGAAACCAGGAGACUUGAGUGCAGAAGAGGACAGUGGAACUCCAUGUGUAGCGGUGAAAUGCGUAGAUAUAUGGAAGAACACCAGUGGCGAAGGCGGCUGUCUGGUCUGUAACUGACGCUGAGGCUCGAAAGCAUGGGUAGCGAACAGGAUUAGAUACCCUGGUAGUCCAUGCCGCAAACGAUGAGUGCUAAGUGUUGGAGGGUU
rnacentral:rRNA from 1 species